AAAAAAGCUUAAGAUAAAAUGAAAUUCAAAAUGAUCCGCCACUCCUGCCCCCUCCUGAUUCAUCAUACCGUUAGAUUCAUGAUUCACUAUUCACAACAUUCAUUUUGAAAUUCAUUUUUUUUUUUUUUUAUCAUUUGAUUUUUUAUAUUUUACUUCACAUUUCCUAUUCUUACGGGAACCGGAACCUCGCACACCGGAACGGGAUGCCACAUGCCAGCACAUCACUAAAUUUUAAAAAAAUUGUUUUGCCUCACAAAACUAAUUGCGUUUCGGACUUGGAUUGUCAGAGGUGUCCAAUAGUUGACGUAGGUGUCGUCAUUUUUCAUGUGGUGGCAGAUUGGCAGAUUGUCGAGCUUCGUUGUCUAGUUUUCUUAUUUUUCCAUGAAAAUUAGCGAUGAUUAACGAUGAAUUCAAAGAAGGAACGCCAAAGGCAACUAGCCUAGACAAGUAGCCUACCAUCAAUUUUUUUCAUAAAAUUGUCGUUCAGCUGAAUGCUUCAUGCUGUUAAAACAGGAUAAUAUUCAUCGUAAUUAUCUGGAGUUUCUGUUGAUAUUGGUAGGUCAGUCACUACCCCAGUGUGGACACUUGUUUUUUUUUUUAAACAUGUUUUCUACAAAUAAUGCAUUGACAAACAAUAAUCAUAGAGAAAGCUAUGGAAACAUAAUCAAGGCCAUGGGUAUCUUCAGGUUUAUUGCAGAAACUUUGGGGAAGUCACAUGAAAAGAUGCAGGUCACAUACCAACAUGUGUUGUAUUUAUCUGAAUUUUUUACUCAAGCAGUAGAUUCAACAUGACUGUUUGAUAACAAAGUAAGUUAGUUCUGGAACUCGAACUCAAACACAUAUAACCGUUGCUGCUGCUGCCUUACAGUCACAGCCAGGAAAAUUAUUCUUUUCUUCAGAAAAUUGUAAGUUUCAUUUUUUGUCUGGACCCCCAUACCCCCAAUCUCAUCAGAUUUAUUUGUAUGUGAUGUGUAUCUGAUUAUCCAUUUCUCGCGAGUCGUGAUGUUAAGCCUCGGAAACAGAGUUCAGAUAGCAAUCCAUCCGUUCCGUACCGUACUAAUGUGGUAAUCGUGAGGGAAUCUUUUGGCCGUCAGUAGGUGGCUAAAAUGGUUUAUCCCUCAUCCACCAGGUGACGCGAGUGUCUUCGUGAGGACGAAAUAUUAGUUCCGAGACGCUGACUGAAAGUGUAUUCCAAAUUCAUUACGGAAUUGCGGUGUCGAACUGUCUACCUACAUUUUCAGACAUGAAAUGCAAUCUGGCAUAUAAUUUCACUUGGCCAAAUAAUGUGACGACGUGAGUCGAAACUGCUGUCCAUUUUGCCGAAAUGUCGGCCAUUGUUAGCUGUACCUAUUCGGCUGUACGUCUCAUCUUGUGCAGAAACACUUCAGAGCUGUUGAUGUUUAGUUCAGAGACAGAGAUCUCUUUGCUCAACUGUUGCAGAAAUUGAAAACACAACAAAGUCAGAGCUUCAUGGCUGUCGUUCAUUAACAUGGUUGUGUUGCAGCCAGCUGAUGAAAGGUGUGAUCGAGUCAAGUUGAGGUGCAGCUGCUGCGUGCAGUUUAUCAAGCUGGUGUUAUGUGAAGUGUCAUUGCAGGAAGACUUCUUGAAUAGGAGUUUGUGGUUGGUUUGAUGUUUAUGGUGUUGCUGUUUGGUGUACAGUGGUUUUGCAGCCCCUUUCCAAUUGAGAGAUCCUCUGAAAUGGAGUUUGGUGCAGACUUGCAGUUCAACAUCACACUUAAAUGUUUCAUUUGCCUAUGUUGGUGUCCAUGCAGUAUAUGCAGUGUUGAACAGUUGGGUAAAAUAGUCAAUGUUGCCUGAUGGCUGUCGGUCUUAUUUUAUCGGCUGCAUUUUGUCGAUAUGUCGUCUCUUGGUACCGGCGUUGAGUUUCAUCGUUUGCUGCCGUUCCAUAGACUUGAUCCAUUGGUAAAACUGAGGAGAGGUUGCUGAAAUUCAAGACUCGUCAAUAAAUAAUGUAGAUGUAGAAAAAUUACAAGUGCAUAUCUGGGCUCUCUUCUUCAGUGGCCCCGUUUCCCUAAAUAACCACUAACCAACGCGCGCCGGUGGUCACUCACUCGCUGCGACAACCAGGAGGAAGGGAGAUGUUUGGUCGAACGGGGACUUGCAAGGCGCAUGAUUCGAUGAAAUCUGUUGCUCAUGAGUCUAAGCCGGAAGUCUACUAUGAUGCAUUGCUCUCUUAAAAGCUGUUCCUCGGCUCUCUUCGCUCUUUUUCCGGUGUCUCUUAACCAUGGCCGGGUAAUCUCCCUGGUUCAGUCAAUCACUGCAGUGUCUCCCCCCGCUUUGAUUGGCUGUGUAUUGAACCGGGCGGUCAGUUUAAUAAACAAUUCUACAUAAAUUUUGCUAUUAAUAUUGAUGAUUCUGUUAAAUGUAAUGAAAAACGUACGAAGAAAUAACUAUAAAUAAUUUAUAUAGUUUAUUUUCAUUCAUUGAUUUUCGUUGAUUUUAACCAUACAUUUUAUAAUUCAUUCAUUUGUUUAUUGAACUUAGUCCGCUCGAUUGCGACCGCACGGGGAAGUUAGACUUCAUAAGUGACUUCUGCAUGUUGCAUCUUUAGAUUCUUCUACGAAUUUACAAUCUGAUUUUUUCCUAGGUGUACAUUCUAUGAUGGACUUCCUUUUACUGGUUGCCUUUAUUUCGUGAUUUCAAGUAUGAAAUUGAGCUUUGCAUGUCAUGUAGGUUUAUCUCGACCCAGUUUUUUUAUGUUUAUAGCCCAACAAUCAACUUAUUUUUUUCAAAUUCUAGAUGCAUCCUGUUUCUAGGAUUUAUUCUAGAUGAAAUCCUCCACCAGGUGCCACUGCAGUUUAAUAACAACAAUGACUGCCAUGGUUAGUGCAUGGUUAGUUGCUGUCUUUCACUUUUCGAUGAGUAUAAAGUGAACUAUUAAACAUUUCAAAAAGUUUGUUAAGUAGCAAAAUGUGGUAAAGCAGAUUAAGUGUGAAACCAACACUAUAGUGAGAUCCUUGUGAUGGAAAAUAGCAUGAUCCAGGCUGUUCUUCAAUUGCAAAGAAAGAGAAUUAUGAUUGAAACAAAUGCAAAAUUUCCAACUGGAAUUCUCUUCAUAUUCGUGGUAAUUUUGGAAUUCCAGAGAAUAACACCUUAAAAAGAAAGAACUGUGGCUGUGCUAAUGUAGCAGUAUUGCGUGAAUCUGUCGCCGCCAUUCCAUAGACUGACCCAUUGGGAUGGUGAAACUGAGGAGAAAACGCUGAAAUUCAAGAAAAUUAUGUUGAUGUAGAUAAAUUAAAAGUGCAUAUCUGGGCUCCCUUCUUUUCUGUGGCCCCGUUUCCCUAACUAACCACUAACCAACGCCCGCCGGUGGUCACUCACCC